rnacentral:rRNA from 1 species
CAGUAGCCGCGGGAAUACGGAGGGUGCAAGCGUUAUCCGGAUUCACUGGGUUUAAAGGGUGCGUAGGCGGGCAGGUAAGUCAGUGGUGAAAUCUUCGAGCUUAACUCGGAAACUGCCGUUGAUACUAUCUGUCUUGAAUAACGUUGAGGUGAGCGGAAUAUGUCAUGUAGCGGUGAAAUGCUUAGAUAUGACAUAGAACACCGAUUGCGAAGGCAGCUCACUAAACGCUCAUUGACGCUGAGGCACGAAAGCGUGGGGAUCAAACAGGAUUAGAUACCCCCGUAGUCCCUGUCUCUUAUAC